GCCGGGUGUGGUGGCACAUGCCUGUAAUCCCAGCAACUCAGGAGGCUGAGGCAGGAGGAUCACGAGUUGGAGGCCAGCUUCAGCAACUUAGUGAGACUGUCUCAA
rnacentral:sRNA from 1 species